GACGAACCGAGCGAACGUUGUUCGGAAUCACUGGGCUUAAAGGGCGCGUAGGCGGGCUGUCAAGUCUGGGGUGAAAUCCCGCGGCUCAACCGUGGAACUGCCUCAGAUACUGACGGCCUCGAGGGAGAUAGGGGCGAGCGGAACUAAUGGUGGAGCGGUGAAAUGCGUUGAUAUCAUUAGGAACUCCGGUGGCGAAGGCGGCUCGCUGGAACGGUACUGACGCUGAGGCGCGAAAGCGUGGGGAGCGAACAGG
rnacentral:rRNA from 1 species